rnacentral:rRNA from 1 species
GGGAGAAGCCCAGCACCGAAUCCCGCGAUCGUUUUGGUCGCAGGGAAAUGUGGUGUUAGGGAGGGUCCGCCAUCCCGAGGCCGUGCGGUGCGUCCAAGUCCUUCUUGAACGCGGCCACUUACCCACAGAGGGUGCCAGGCCCGUAGUGACCGCUGCCGGCAACGGGAGGACCUCUCCUCAGAGUCGGGUUGCUUGAGAGUGCAGCCCUAAGUGGGUGGUAAACUCCAUCUAAGGCUAAAUAUAACCACGAGACCGAUAGCGAACAAGUACCGUGAGGGAAAGUUGAAAAGAACUUUGAAGAGAGAGUUCAAUAGUACGUGAAACCGUUCAGGGGUAAACCUGAGAAACCCGAAAUUUCGAAAGGGGUGAUUCAGCGUGUCCCGCACGGAGGCGAGUUGAAUAGGUGUGACCCGCGCCCUUCGGGACGCGGGCUCCCGUUUCUUCCGACCUCCGUCGAACGCGUGCACUUCUCCCCUAGUAGGACGUCGCGACCCGUUGGGUGCAGGCCUAAGGGCGUGGGUGGAGACCGUGCGACACCUUCGGGUGUUCGUUCACGGACCCCGCGUUCCCGGUCUGCCCGCUCGACGGUAUGACAGUGGCGCUGGGCCGCGAAAACGUUCGCGUCCGGCACGUCGCAAGUGCGGUCGGUUCAUGUGUCGAACGCUGUCGGACCUGGUGCCGGCUUCGAACCCGACCCGCUGUUGGCGACGGUGCUCUCGGACAGACCCGGUAUAUUUCUAACGCCCGUCUGCGACGCUUUUGAUUUGGGUACUUUCAGGACCCGUCUUGAAACACGGACCAAGGAGUCUAGCAUGUGCGCGAGUCAUUGGGACCUGCGAAUCCUAAAGGCGUAAUGAAAGUGAAGGCCGCCCCGUGCGCGCCUAGGGUGGAUGCGCCGGUCACCGUACCGAUGCGCCGCACACCCGGGGCGUCUCGUGCUCACUGCGAGCUGAGGCGCACCUAGAGCGUACAUGCUGGGACCCGAAAGA